UACAGGGGGUGCAAACGUUGCUCGGAAUCAUUGGGCGUAAAGCGCACGUAGGCGGUCUGUCGCGUCGGCUGUGAAAACCCGGGGCUCAACCCCGGGCCUGCAGUCGAUACGGGCAGACUAGAGUGCGGUAGGGGAGACUGGAAUUCCUGGUGUAGCGGUGAAAUGCGCAGAUAUCAGGAGGAACACCGGUGGCGAAGGCGGGUCUCUGGGCCGUAACUGACGCUGAGGAGCGAAAGCGUGGGGAGCGAACAGG
rnacentral:rRNA from 1 species